rnacentral:rRNA from 1 species
UACGUAGGUGGCAAGCGUUGUCCGGGUUUACUGGGUGUAAAGGGCGUGCAGCCGGGAAGACAAGUCAGAUGUGAAAUCCCGCGGCUCAACCGCGGAACUGCAUUUGAAACUGUUUUUCUUGAGUACCGGAGAGGUCAUCGGAAUUCCUUGUGUAGCGGUGAAAUGCGUAGAUAUAAGGAAGAACACCAGUGGCGAAGGCGGAUGACUGGACGGCAACUGACGGUGAGGCGCGAAAGCGUGGGGAGCAAACAGG